AGAGAGAGAGAGGUUGAGAGAGAGGUUGAGAGAGAGAGGUUGAGAGAGAGAGAGAGAGGUUGAGAGAGAGAGAGAUUGAGAGAGAGAGAGAGAGAGGUUGAGAGAGAGUUGAGAGAGAGAGAGGUUGAGAGAGAGAGAGAGAGAGGUUGAGAGAGAGAGAGGUUGAGAGAGAGAGAGAGAGAGAGAGGUUGAGAGAGAGGUUGAGAGAGAGAGGUUGAGAGAGAGAGAGAGAGAGAGAGAGAGAGAGAGAGAGAGAGGUUGAGAGAGAGAGGUUGAGAGAGAGAGGUUGAGAGAGAGAGAGAGAGGUUGAGAGAGAGAGAGAGAGGUUGAGAGAGAGAGAUUGAGAGAGAGAGGUUGAGAGAGAGAGAGAGAUUGAGAGAGAGAGAGAUUGAGAGAGAGAGGGGGAGAGAGAGGUUGAGAGAGAGAGAUAGGUUGAGAGAGAGAGAAGUUGAGAGGGAGAGGUUGAGAGAGAGAGAGGUUGGGAG
ensembl:lncRNA